rnacentral:lncRNA from 1 species
CCUGUUAAGUUAGCUCUCGUCAAUGGUGAUUGAGUCUGGGACUAGCUCUGCUUGAGGAUCUCUGUUGCGGUAGCACUUUGAUUUGGUUAUUGAACUUGUUGUCUAGGGAUAGUUUGUUGAGCAUGUUAACCACCUGUUAGAUUAAGGAGACUUCACUACUCGAUUACCCCAUCCUCGGGAAUUUCUCUUCCAUUUGAUUUCCUUGUUUACAUCGCUAUUGAUUGCUUGAUCUUGUUACUUGUUGCUCAGUUUUAUCAUUUCUACCCUGUUUCAUUUGAAGUACUCGACCACACCCAGUAGUUUGGUAACAAACUGUGCAGUCGAGUACCCUGUUUACAGUUUCUGUUAAAUUACUCGACCUGAUACUCGACCACAUCCAGUGCUUGGCAUCAAGCUGUGUGAUCGAGUAUAUUGCCUGUCAUUGUUAGAAUUCCUGUUUUUGCAUGAUCACCUAGGAUUGUUAGAAACACCAAAACCUGUUAUUGCUUGGCUUGACUUUGUGAUAUCUGAUUGCAUCUUGAUUGCUAGCAUCACACCCAUUUGGAUUGACACCUUAAAUACUGCAAUGACAUGAUAGUACUUUAAGGAUAAUUGAUCUUAGCUAAAAUCCUACUAUCAAUUUGGCGCCGUUGCCAAUUGGGUGUUUGUUUGUUACAUUUAAGAUUUCAGACUUGCUUAGAUCAAGUUCUAUUUCAAUUUUCACUUAGGUUACUAACUUUGUGUUUUUCUUGUUGUCUUUUUGAUCCAGGUACAACCCUGCUGUAUGCAAACUCGAUCAAAAGGCAACCAGAACCUCCUUUUCAACGAUAACAUUGACCGUAUUGACAGAGAACUAAGGGAAAGGAGAGACACUACAGACCUUGAACACAACCAUCCUUUCAGAAUGGCUGAUGAACAAGAUGUCAACAAUCUGCCUGCAAACAUUGGUGCUGGAGAUGCACCAAGAAACCACCAUCAGAGGCAAGGGAUUGUGCCUCCUGCUGUCCAAAACAACAACUUCGAGAUUAAAAGUGGUCUCAUCUCGAUGAUUCAGGGAAACAAGUUCCAUGGUCUGCCUAUGGAAGACCCACUCGACCACUUAGACGAAUUUGAUAGGCUCUGCAGCCUAACAAAAAUAAAUGGAGUCAGUGAAGAUGGAUUCAAGCUCCGGUUGUUCCCAUUCUCCUUGGGUGACAAAGCACACAUCUGGGAAAAGAAUCUUCCACCUGGAUCCAUCACAUCUUGGGAUGACUGCAAGAAGGCCUUUCUUACAAAAUUCUUCUCCAACGCAAGGACUGCACGGCUCAGGAAUGAGAUCUCUGGUUUUGCCCACAAGAAUGGAGAAAGCUUCUGUGAGGCCUGGGAGCGCUUCAAAAGUUACACCAACCAAUGUCCUCAUCAUGGCUUCAGUAAAGCCUCACUGCUCAGCACACUCUACAGAGGUGCUCUUCCGCGGAUCAGAAUGCUCCUUGAUACUGCGAGCAAUGGGAAUUUCCAGAACAAGGAUGUUGCUGAAGGCUGGGAAUUAGUUGAGAACUUAGCUCAGUCAGAUGGAAAUUACAACGAGGACUGCGACAGGACCAUCAGAGGAACAGCUGACUCGGAUGAUAAACACAGGAAAGAGAUGAAAGCUCUUAAUGAGAAACUGGAUAGGAUUCUCCUUGGCCAGCAGAAGCAUGUGCACUUCCUAGUUGAUGACGACCAGUAUCAAGUCCAAGAUGGGGAGGGGAACCAGUAUGAAGAGGUCAGCUACAUCAACAAUCAAGGUGGCUACAAAGGUUAUAACAACUUCUAGACUAACAACCCCAACCUUUCUUACCGCAGCACCAACGUUGCUAAUCCACAGGAUCAAGUGUAUCCUCCACAACAACAGCAGGGUCAGAAUAAACCUUUUGUUCCCUACAACCAAGGUUUUGCUCCCAAGCAACAAUUUCAGGGGAACUACCAGCAGCAACCACCACCUGGGUAUGCACCUCAGCAACACCAAGGUCCUGUUGUUCCUGAUUCUGACAUGAAGCAAAUGCUACAACAGCUUCUCCAAGGACAAGCCUCUGGCUCCAUGGAGAUUGCUAAGAAGAUAUCUGAAUUACACCAUAAGUUGGAUUGUAGCUACAAUGACCUGAAUGUAAAAGUGGAAGCAUUGAGCUCCAAGGUCCGAUACUUAGAGGGACAAUCUGCAUCCACUUCUGCUCCGAAACCUCCAGGGCAACUCGCAGGGAAAGCAAUUCAGAAUCCAAAGGAGUAUGCUAAUGUUCAUGCUAUCACCCUAAGGAGUGGAAGAGAGUUAUCCACCCGAGAGGGACCCAAGCCAGUCACUGAGGACAGUGCAGACCAAGAUGGGCAGGAUUUCAGUCUCAAUGAAGAUCAAGUUGACAAACCAGCUGAAGUACUCGAUGGACAUACUCGAUCAACAACUCGAGUAGCGGCUAUACCUGCUGAAAAACCAGUUGCUGCUAAGAACAAGGAGAAGGUUUUUGUUCCUCCUCCUUACAAGCCCCCACUUCCAUUUCCUGGUAGACAAAAGAAAACGUUGGCAGAUAAGUACAGAGCUAUGUUUGCAGAGAACAUUAAAAACGUUGAAGCCAGGAUACCUCUUGUUGAUGCUCUCGCGCUUAUUCCGGAUUCCCACAAGUUUCUGAAAGAAUUGAUCAGGGAGAGAAUUCAAGAGGUUCAGAGAACAACAAUUGUGAGCCAUGAGUGCAGUGCCAUCAUACAGAAGAAGGUUGUCCCAGAAAAGCUAGGAGACCCUGGUUCAUUUACUCUACCAUGCUCCCUAGGUCCAUUGACUUUCAAUAAAUGCCUUUGUGACCUAGGAGCAUCAGUAAGUCUCAUGCCACUCUCAGUAGCUAAGAGGUUGGGUUUUAACAAGUAUAAAUACUGCAACAUCUCCUUGAUCUUGGCUGAUAGGUCUGUUAGACUACCUCAUGGGUUAUUAGAAGAUUUGCCUAUCAAGAUUGGAAAUCUGGAGGUGCAUACAGACUUCGUAGUGUUGGACAUGGAUGAAGAACCAAAAGAUCCCUUGAUCUUAGGAAGGCCCUUCUUGGCUACAGCUGGAGCAAUCAUAGAUGUUAAGCAAGGGAAGAUUGAUCUUAAUAUGGGGAAGGAUUUAAAAAUGAAGUUUGACAUCAAUGAUGAUAUGCAAAAGCCGACAAUAGAAGGACAAACCUUCUUAGUUGAGGAAAUGGAUCGGCUAGCUGAUGAACUGCUAGAGGAACUUGCUGAAGAAGAUUACUUAAAAACUGUUUUGACCAAGAGUGGUAAAGCUGGGUAUCUCCCUAGUGAGACUUUGAGUUCUGAGAAGUCCUUAGACUUACACAAGGGAUUGAUGGGGUCUGAAACAAAGGUUAUGAGAGCUAAUGAAGUAAGUUCAACACAUGCUCGACCAACUGAUUCCACCAACAACUCGAAGAAGCCUCCAACUGGCCCUGAGAGCUCAUGCUCGACUGAACAGCUCGAGCAACAGCUUAAAGCAAGCACUCUGGCAUCAAAUGAUUGGUUGGAACUCAAGGAGAGGUCCAAAUGGCAGGACAAAGCCAUAAGGGAGUUAGCAGACAUUGUGAAAGAGCUGAAGGAUCAAAUCAAAGAGCUCCAUGGAAAAGCCAACCAAGUGCCACUCAACAUCAAAGACGUCCCAAAUGAUGGAGCAACUACUCAGCUUAGCAAAGAAGGAUGUGAAUUCACAUUGGACUUGUCUAGAGAAGAAGACUAUCCUCCUGAUCAAAAAGAAACUUACUUCGAGAAAAGGACCACUGAGUAUCCAAUCGCAAACCCGUCAAAAAAGCUUGCUGAGUAUGAUGAUCACUCCACUCAAGGAGAAGAGGAGACCUCAUUUCCUCUCUGCAAACCACCCUAAGCCUAAUGAGUGUGAGGAGUCAAGCUUAGAGACUUAAAACAAGCUCACUUGGGAGGAAGUCCCAUGUCUAUCCAUGUACAUAUUUUUAUUUCCUUGUUAUUUUAAUGUGUUUUGGUAGUGUUUUGGUUUUCAGGAAAUGUGUGUCAAGUGCAAAGUGAAGUGGAUUCUAGCUCACAGUGCAAUCGAGUAUGGAGUGGGGUUUUGGUUCCAAGAUUUUUGGAUUUUUAACGUGCCACUCUAUCACAAGAGGCCACAUGGUAAUUAGAUGACAUGGUCGAGCAUCAAGAAGGAGAAGGAGCAGAAGCACAACAGCAAGACUCCUCAAUGGCCUGGCAGUUUACACAAAGCAAGCAUUGAUGAGCACAUCAACUCCUUCUUCAGUUGAGGUAACAACUCCAUUUCUCACUGUUUAUACCAUCUCAUGUUUUCUUUCUUUAUUUAUUUGUCCUGAGUACUCUCUUCCAAAUUUGGUCACACAAUGGACUGUAUGAUUUAAGUUUGGGGGAGGGCUCAGGAAGUAUCUGAUGUGUUUGCUUUGUUCUUGUUUUCAAAUUUUUCUUGCAUUGUGCAUAUUGUCUGCAUUCAUUUAUGUCAUUGAAAAAACCCUAAAAAUUUGAAAAAUUUCUGAAAAUGGUUUCACAAAAACAGAGUGUUCAUGUAGUCUGCAUUGUCAUUUUAGGAUUGUUUUAGUAUGCUUUCACUUAGGAAUUGUUGCAUCAUGCAUAUGCAUAGGGGAUGAUGACGAGAUAACCUUGUAAGCAUGCUCAUUUACUGAAUGAAUUCAAUGCCCUCGUUACUAGUUGUUUAAUGCUUGUGAUAGAACUUGAAUUAAGACUGCACCAUAUUUGGAAUUCACAACUUGACUCUCUUGUUUUAAUUGAAGCAUGCUUGAUGUGAUUCUUUUCCCUAUCUAUUAGAACCUGAACUUGACUUAUAAUUAUCAUGUCUUUGCAUUGUUGUUGAACUUGUGGCUACCAAUACACAUACUUGGAUUUUCUUUCACCUUCUACCACUCUUGCUAAUCCAAGUAGCUGAUUCCCAUCAUUGGAACAGUUUCCCCCACCCUGAACCUAACCUUUCUUUCAAGCCCUGAAUAAAUUUAUGUGUGCGUGAGGCCUAUUUCCGGAUUGAGCUUGGUAGAAAGUGUUAGGUAUGAACCGACAAGAAUGGUAUCCCAUGUAGUUCUAGUCCACGCUUUUUGGGCUAGAUAGGACUAGGUGGGAGUUUUACUUUGGGUUUGGAAAUGUGUUUGGAAUAAAAUUGAGAAAGAAAGACAAGUGUUAUUGUUCUUAGGAGAUGGAAGUGAAACAGAAAAGAAUAUCAUGUUAGUCUAGUAAAGGAUUUGGGAAGCUUGAAAAUAAAAAAAGUUAGGCUCUGUGCAAAGUAAAAAGAAAGGCAAAAGCCUAGAAAUGUCUUAAGUCAUGAGAUGAAAAGAAGAGCCUUAGUUGUUAAAGAAAGUCCCAAUCCGCUAGAAAGUCUAAAAGAAAACCUCUCCUUAGAACAAAAACCAAAAACAAAGAAUGGGUUGAUCCAAGAGAUUAUUGAAACAUGCCUUGAGUGCAAAAGGGUAGAAUUAGGAUCAUUUCUGGGGUUUAGAGAUAGGACCAUCUAUGGAGUUUGAUAUACUUAUGGUUAUUUGGGUAGAUGGGGUCUGUUCUUGUAUGCGUAGGUUGGUUCUAACCUUUAGCAUUCUACUAAAGCUCUGUCCAUUCAUGAGAGUUCCCUGCUACUGUGAAAAAGUCUGAAACCAUUUACAGAGGAACCAUCUUUGUUUCUCAGCCUUGUCCUUUAAACCAAAUGAGUUCUUCAACAAUGUUUUGCUUGAUUCAUGGUUUGAGCUUAAUCAAUGUUAAAGGGAAUUGAUGAUCUGAAGGUGUGUGUAGAUUGGAACAAAUGUUAGGUUGUCUUGUGCUGAAUAUGGCUAAAGUUUUUAAGUAGAGUUUGGUCUCUAAGCAUUCCACAAUUACUAACUUGGACAUUGAGUUCAUUUGCUUUGUCUGCAUGCUUUGGUUCUGAGUCCCCGCUUUCAAACCUCUCCUCCAGCUUGUUCUUAAUUGUUUGCUUGAGGGCAAGCAAAGACUAAGUUUGGGGGAGUUGAUAUGUCUAUAUUUUACUUGUUUUGAGCAUCCAUUUAGCAUCACUCUAUUAUCAUUUCGUCAUUGUUUCAUACCAUUCUUCAUGAUUUGUCAUCACUUUACAUGUUUAGGAUAGUUUUGCAUGCAUGUUGCAUAUUUGAGUUGUUUUCAGGUGAUUUGGAGCUGUUGGUGAGCAAAUUGGAAGAAGUGGACCAGAACCCAUCAGUAUGCUCGAUCACGUGGUCGAGUACCAUCAUCCUGGCCACUGAAGCAGAUGCUCGACCACAACCUGCCACAUCACUCGAUCAACUACUCGAUCGUGUGGUCGAGCAACCCGGCGUCCUUGUGUAUCUGGAUCACUCGAUCAACCACUCGAUCGUGUCAGUCGAGCACUCCCAGCAAGCUUCCCUCAGAUCACUCGACCAGACACUCGAUCACCACCUCCACGCAGCCACUUGAUCACAAGCUUCAGAGUCUUCUCAGAUCCCAACUCAACCAGACAUUGAGCAUAAGGAAGAGAAGAGGAUGAAGCAGAAGGCGAGCACAUACUCGACCCAAGUGCUCGAUCACGACAUACCCAGAGCAAGAAAUCGCAAAGGCGCCAACUUUAUUCAACCUCUCUACUCGAUCACAAGGGUCGAGUAUCUCCGUAAACCGCCUUAAUACUUUGUCGUCUUGUGAUUUAGGGUUUCCUAGUAUUUGCUAUAAAUAGGUUGUUUCUCAUAAUUUUGAGACUAAGUUUUAUUCUGUGGAAGUUUUAUUUUCUGCAGAACAAUUAAUGCUUUCUUCAUAUUUGUAAUCCAGAUUUCUCUUAAUCUAUUGAGUAUUUGCUUUUGAUUUCUUCUACAAAGUUGUUCAUCUUGUUGAGAUCUUGCUAAUAUGAAGUUUUUAUGUAUUUAUGGGUUUGUGUUCUUGGUUAUGAAUUUUGAGUAGUGAUUAGGGUUCUUGAGGAUGGGUUAGAGUAGCUUAGAAUCUUUAAUCUGAUAGGUGGUUGAGUUUGAUUGGUAGAUCCCUUAUGGAUUAGUUGUUCUUAAUGCUGAUUGCUUUCUGAUCAACUGGAAUCUGAGCCCAGACAUUUCCGCACCCAAAAGGUGUUCGAUGAAAUGUCUGAACCACUAAUUCCAGAGAUUCGUGGCUCUGUACCAAGGUAUUGGUUACAGGGAGCGUUUUGACUUAGAUUUGUUGUUUCGUAAUGCCUGUUAAGUUAGCUCUCGUCAAUGGUGAUUGAGUCUGGGACUAGCUCUGCUUGAGGAUCUCUGUUGCGGUAGCACUUUGAUUUGGUUAUUGAACUUGUUGUCUAGGGAUAGUUUGUUGAGCAUGUUAACCACCUGUUAGAUUAAGGAGACUUCACUACUCGAUUACCCCAUCCUCGGGAAUUUCUCUUCCAUUUGAUUUCCUUGUUUACAUCGCUAUUGAUUGGUUGAUCUUGUUACUUGUUGCUCAGUUUUAUCAUUUCUACCCUGUUUCAUUUGAAGUACUCGACCACACCCAGUAGUUUGGUAACAAACUGUGCAGUCGAGUACCCUGUUUACAGUUUCUGUUAAAUUACUCGACCUGAUACUCGACCACAUCCAGUGCUUGGCAUCAAGCUGUGUGAUCGAGUAUAUUGCAUGUCAUUGUUAGAAUUCCUGUUUUUGCAUGAUCACCUAGGAUUGUUAGAAACACCAAAACCUGUUAUUGCUUGGCUUGACU